AUAGAUGUAUAAUGGCAUUUUCGUUAAUAGUUUAGGUGGGAAAGAUAAAAUUGCGAUACUUGGUGUGAAUUGCAGAAUCCCGUGAACCAUCGGGUCUUUAAACGCAAGUUGCGCCCAAGCCUUCUGGCCGAGGGCACGUCUGCCUGGGUGUCA
rnacentral:rRNA from 1 species